rnacentral:lncRNA from 1 species
GGAGAGUAGAGGAAAGACAGGAGAUGGUUGUUGGCAAGGGCAGGGCGACUGUCCGGCCGAGGCCCAACGUGCUGGGCUGGGGGGUGGGCGGUGCCCACUUGAAGUUCAAGGUCAUAAACUUAACUGGAGCCAAUCCAAAUCCACUGCCCAAGCAAAAGCUUAUCUAAGAAAAAGAAAAAUAACUCGAAGCCUCCAAGACACAUAAAAUCAAGAAUGGACUGACAACGGUGAAGAAGGGUAGAGCUUUUCAGAAAGAUGACCCUCGAUUCAGGGCUUAGCCAUUCUUGUACAUGGAGCCAAGUUCAUUUUACCCGCAACUGACUUACGAGUGUCUCAUAACUCUGGACUCGUAACUGACACCACAAAAGCCCGUUCAAUGUCCAGUUGCUGGGAUGAGCCUAGUGGACAAAACGUCAAGCCAAUGGCAUGAGGACUGUGGUUUCAAUCAAGACCUGUCCCCCCAGAGCAGGGCUGCCCCAGCCCAUCCAUCUGGUAUCUCCGAGUCUCGGCAUCUUCUCUGAAAAUGAGAAUCAGAAGGUGUGUGAGCAAAGUUUGUUGUGUUAAUCAAAAAUAUGUUAAUUUUCUGCAUUUCAAUAACUUCAAGCUUAGCCUGAGAACCUUCCAAGCUGUAGAAAACCUCCUUGACUAAGAGUCCACUUGCACAAGGACCUCCGCCCUUCUGAACACAAACGAGCUGGAAUAGACCGUAAAGAAGGAGGGGGACCCUGGGGCCAGGAAGCUGGUCCUUCACAAGCAGGUCAGUGGUGGGGAUGCAGCUGGGGGCACAUGACACGAUGACAUUUCAUCUGGGUCUGAAAUACUCAGGCCCAGGCCCCCGAGAGUCCUGCAAACAGCGAAUCAGAAGGACUGCAGAGACUGAACAGGUGGUCCCUGAGCAGGUGGCUCUUGGCUGCUUGGAUGAGGGAGGGGAGAGGAGAGAGAAGAUGCUGGGGGCCACCCCAGGGGCCCUGCGCUGGAGACAGGUCCCGGGGCCCAGACUGUCUCACCCGAGAUGCAUCUUCCAUAACCUCCUUGGCAAGUCAGUCCUGAGCAUGAGCCUAGAGAAACCCCUUCACCAGGCCUGCUGUGGAGAAGGCCCUUCAAAGCCUCCCUCAGAAGAACGAGAAGCAUCCAAUGCUCCAUCAGUGGUGCCAUUACUAAUCAAAUUUAAAAGGAUUAAUGAGGGACCUCCCGUCAUGGCGCAGCGGACACGAAUCCGACUAGGAACCAUAAGGUUUUCGGUUCGAUCCCAGGCCCCGCUCAAUGGGUUAAGGAUCCAGCGUUGCCAUGAGCUGUGGUGUAGGUCGUGGACGCGGCUUGAAUCUGGCGUUACUGUGGCUGUGCCACAAGCUGACAGCUAUAGCUCCGAUAAGACCCCGAGUCUGGGAACCUCCACAUGCUGCAAGUGUGGCCCUAAAAAGACAAAAAGGCUAAAAUAAAAUAAAAAUAAAACAAAAUAAAAUAAAAAGUUUAAAAUAAAGUAGGAAAGCCUCUUGGAGGAAAGAAUGAAAGAUCUGUGUUAUAGUGACAAUGACAGAAAUGAAAAGCAUUUUGCCAAGAUUUUGCACCUGUGACAAGCCAGGCCAAGUCACAGACUUCGAAAAGAAUGGGCUCCUUUGGACGGGCGUGUCUGCACACCGAGGUCUAACCACUGGGGCAGUUCUACCCUAUUAGGUGAAGAAGAAACCCCCUCAUCUUGUUGUGGCUUGUGCCGCCCUGCAGGGCUGGGAUUGGGCAGAGAAAGCCUGUGUUUACGUGCGACUUUAAUUUGAUUUACUGUCCCUGACAAGCCCGCCUGAACCCAGCGCUCUGUCUCAGCAGGGUCCCUGCCUCGCCUCUCCUGCUCUGCAAGAACUCGAAAGCAGGAGCUGGCAGGUGGAUGCCGAGGGGGACUUCGCCUCCCUUCAUGCUUGCCCAGGGCAAGUGGAACCAAGCCCGACUGCUUCAGAACCUUUCCUGGGCACGGGCUAAAGGCGCUUGGUGUCACGGUGUCACUGGAGGUGGCCUGAGGGGCAGACAGAUUCACCAGCGAUGGCUGCAUCUUGGGAGCUCAGCUCUGUGAAGCGGCAGUGUCAGCCCCGUGCGAGCUCCCCGCCAUCUGGGGAGGGGACACUAUGCUUGGAAAGUCAGAAGACAGGAAAGCAUCUGCGCCCUCCUCCUCCCGAGGCCCUCAGUGUCCUGCCUCCUCUCUGAGGCUGUCUGUGUUCGAACCUGCCCUGGGCCCUGUCACAGGAACAAAAGAUGGAAUUUCGCAUUUCUACCUCCUCAUUUCCUAGAAUUUCAGCUGCCUUCAUGGUUCUCC